CAGGCAGCGGAGGCCUCUCGGGAGACAGGGAGAGUACUGACUCCCUUAGAAUUUCUGUGCAUGCUGACUGGGCCACAUAUGCUAGUGGCUAUUUACUUCUCUCCCCAGUACCUAAUAAGGUGCAUAGAGGAAAGGCCACACGAGGACACAGGGAGAAGCUAGAUGUAUGCAAGUCAGGAAGAGAAGACUCACCAGAAAGCAAACAACCUUGUGGCACCUGGAUCUUGGACUUCCGGCCUCCAGGACUGUGAGAAGAUAAAUGUCUGCUGUUUAAGCCACCCAGGCUGUGGCAGCUUGCUAUGGCAGCCCAAGCUGAUUAAUGCAACACCCAACCUGGACAACAGGUGAAAGUUGUGGUUUUUAUAUGAGCAAAACAGGGAAGACAUCAAAAUUUCCUUAUUAUCUGAUAAGUCUGGAUGUUCUGUUAAUGAGCUGUAUUGGAUGAGUAAUAAAAUAAAGACAUACAUAAUUCA